UGCUUAACACAUGCAAGUCGAACGGAAAGGCCCUUCGGGGUACUCGAGUGGCGAACGGGUGAGUAACACGUGGGUGAUCUGCCCUGCACUUUGGGAUAAGCCUGGGAAACUGGGUCUAAUACCGAAUAUGACCACGCUCUUCAUGGGGUGUGGUGGAAAGCUUUUGCGGUGUGGGAUGGGCCCGCGGCCUAUCAGCUUGUUGGUGGGGUAAUGGCCUACCAAGGCGACGACGGGUAGCCGGCCUGAGAGGGUGACCGGCCACACUGGGACUGAGAUACGGCCCAGACUCCUACGGGAGGCAGCAGUGGGGAAUAUUGCACAAUGGGCGCAAGCCUGAUGCAGCGACGCCGCGUGAGGGAUGACGGCCUUCGGGUUGUAAACCCCUUUCACCAGGGACGAAGCGCAAGUGACGGUACCUGGAGAAGAAGCACCGGCCAACUACGUGCCAGCAGCCGCGGUAAUACGUAGGGUGCGAGCGUUGUCCGGAAUUACUGGGCGUAAAGAGCUCGUAGGUGGUUUGUCGCGUUGUUCGUGAAAACUCACAGCUUAACUGUGGGCGUGCGGGCGAUACGGGCAGACUAGAGUACUGCAGGGGAGACUGGAAUUCCUGGUGUAGCGGUGGAAUGCGCAGAUAUCAGGAGGAACACCGGUGGCGAAGGCGGGUCUCUGGGCAGUAACUGACGCUGAGGAGCGAAAGCGUGGGGAGCGAACAAGAUUAGAUACCCUGGUAGUCCACGCCGUAAACGGUGGGUACUAGGUGUGGGUUCCUUCCUUGGGAUCCGUGCCGUAGCUAACGCAUUAAGUACCCCGCCUGGGGAGUACGGCCGCAAGGCUAAAACUCAAAGGAAUUGACGGGGGCCCGCACAAGCGGCGGAGCAUGUGGAUUAAUUCGAUGCAACGCGAAGAACCUUACCUGGGUUUGACAUGCACAGGACGCUGGUAGAGAUAUCAGUUCCCUUGUGGCCUGUGUGCAGGUGGUGCAUGGCUGUCGUCAGCUCGCGUCGUGAGAUGUUGGGUUAAGUCCCGCAACGAGCGCAACCCCUAUCUUAUGUUGCCAGCGCGUUAUGGCGGGGACUCGUAAGAGACUGCCGGGGCCAACUCGGAGGAAGGUGGGGAUGACGUCAAGUCAUCGUGCCCCUUAUGUCCAGGGCUUCACACAUGCUACAAUGGCCGGUACAAAGGGCUGCGAAUCCGCGAGGUGGAGCGAAUCCCUUGAAAGCCGGUCUCAGUUCGGAUCGGGGUCUGCAACUCGACCCCGUGAAGUUGGAGUCGCUAGUAAUCGCAGAUCAGCAACGCUGCGGUGAAUACGUUCCCGGGCCUUGCACUCACCGCCCGUCAAG
rnacentral:rRNA from 1 species